UACGUAGGGGGCUAGCGUUGUCCGGAUUUAUUGGGCGUAAAGAGCGUGUAGGCGGCCUGGUAGGUCUGCUGUGAAAACUCGAGGCUCAACCUCGAGAUGUUGGCGGAAACCAUCUGGCUAGAGUCCGGAAGAGGAGAGUGGAAUUCCUGGUGUAGCGGUGAAAUGCGCAGAUAUCAGGAAGAACACCUAUGGCGAAGGCAGCUCUCUGGGACGGUACUGACGCUGAGACGCGAAAGCGUGGGGAGCGAACAGG
rnacentral:rRNA from 1 species